CGCGUAGACGGUUUUGUAAGUCAGAUGUGAAAUCCCUGGGCUCAACCUGGGAACUGCAUUUGAUACUGCAUGGCUAGAGUAUGGAAGAGGGAAGUGGAAUUUCCGGUGUAGCGGUGAAAUGCGUAGAUAUCGGAAGGAACACCAGUGGCGAAAGCGACUUCCUGGUCCAAUACUGACGUUCAUGUGCGAAAGCGUGGGGAGCAAACAGGAUUAGAUACCCUGGUAGUCCACGCCAUAAACGAUGACAACUAGAUGUUCGGGAGGGUCUGCCUCUCGGUGUCGCAGCUAACGCGUUAAGUUGUCCGCCUGGGGAGUACGGCCGCAAGGUUGAA
rnacentral:rRNA from 1 species